rnacentral:rRNA from 1 species
AUAUCAGUCAUGCAUAGCAUAUCAAUAAGCGGAGGAAAAGAAACUAACAAGGAUUCCCUUAGUAACGGCGAGUGAAGCGGGAAGAGCUCAAAUUUGAAAUCUUCAAGGUUUUACCUUGACGAAUUGUAGUUUAAAGAAGUGUUUUCUGUUGAAGUUUUGGUAAAAGUUCUUUGGAAUAGGACAUCAUAGAGGGUGAGAAUCCCGUAUUUGACCAUUACUUUCAGCUUUGUGAUACACUUUCAAAGAGUCGGAUUGUUUGGGAAUGCAGUCCAAAAUGGGUGGUAAAUUUCAUCUAAAGCUAAAUAUUGGCGAGAGACCGAUAGCGAACAAGUACCGUGAGGGAAAGAUGAAAAGAACUUUGAAAAGAGAGUUAAACAGUACGUGAAAUUGUCAAAAGGGAAGCGUUUGACACCAGUGUUGUUUUUCUCGAAAAUCAAUUAAAAAGAGUUGGAUUUUGUGUUGUAUUGACUUUAUCAGCUUUCUUCACUCUUUUCCAGCUUUUUUUAAUGCACUUUUCGUUUAACAAGUCAACAUCAGUUUCUUUUGUUGUAAAAAGGUCAUUGGAAGGUGGCUUUCUCUUCGGAGAAAGUGUUUAUAGCCUUUGACUCAUGCAAUCGGAGAGACUGAGGUCUGCAGCGUAGAUCCUUCGGGGUUAGAUACAUUUGUGCUAAGUUAUAGCUUUUCAUAGACAACUUGUUGACUAUGUUUAGUCUUGUAGCUUACUCGCUUAUGCUAUUUUACCUACGCUUAGGAUGUUGAACUCUAUCACACACAG